GAUGCAGGGAUUUAGCCAAUCAGAGAGCAGCACUACUGAAAUAGAACUCCCAGGAGGAGCAGCGUGUCACACAUGUGAUGUCAUAACCAUUGUCCACUAGAGAGCAGCACUGAGCAGAUAUAACACUGCUCCUGCUCAUUCUUCAUCAGUGAGGGGCCGGUGCUGGACACUGUAGGGACCGAGAAUGCAAAGUCAUAUACACUACUGUGACUGAUGCACUAUUUCCAGGAUGUGGAGUAGCAUUUCCGGACCUACAGCAAGAAGUUGGAUGAAGACGUAGAUUUCCAGACCUACAGCAAGAAAUUGGAUGAAGGCACAGCCCCUCAAAUCACGCACAUACACAGACACAUUGGCCCAAAUUCUAGAGGUAACCUCCUUUAGUAUGCCCAGAGGAAGGGCAGUACAGUAGCCAUGGAUUCCCUACAGGUUUCCUCCCCUCUGGAGGUUUUUCCUGUCCUGAGUUAGUUACUGUUCGCUCUUUGUGAGUGAUGGAGGUUACAUAAAAUCCCUACACAAACAUUUUAAUAAAUAAUAAAUAAAGUUCCCCUUUUUAAACCAUU